rnacentral:rRNA from 1 species
CCUACGGGAGGCAGCAGUGGGGAAUAUUGCGCAAUGGGCGAAAGCCUGACGCAGCGACGCCGCGGGAGGGAUGAAGGUAUUCGGAUCGUAAACCUCUGUCAGCAGGGAAGAACGGUCACUGUGCUAAUCAGCAGUGAAUUGACGGUACCUGCAAAGGAAGCACCGGCUAACUCCGUGCCAGCAGCCGCGGUAAUACGGAGGGUGCGAGCGUUAAUCGGAAUUACUGGGCGUAAAGCGCUCGUAGGCGGUAUGUCAAGUCAAGGGGGAAAUCCCCGCGCUCAACGUGGGAACUGCCUUUGAAACUGGCAAACUGGAGUGUGUGAGAGGAUAGUGGAAUUCCAGGUGUAGGAGUGAAAUCCGUAGAUAUCUGGAGGAACAUCAGUGGCGAAGGCGACUAUCUGGCACAUAACUGACGCUGAGGAGCGAAAGCGUGGGUAGCAAACAGGAUUAGAUACCCGAGUAGUC